GAGACAGCAGUCGCCACGGUAAUACAGAGGGUGCAAGCGUUAAUCGGAAUUACUGGGCGUAAAGCGCGCGUAGGUGGUUUGUUAAGUUGGAUGUGAAAUCCCCGGGCUCAACCUGGGAACUGCAUCCAAAACUGGCAAGCUAGAGUAUGGUAGAGGGUGGUGGAAUUUCCUGUGUAGCGGUGAAAUGCGUAGAUAUAGGAAGGAACACCAGUGGCGAAGGCGACCACCUGGACUGAUACUGACACUGAGGUGCGAAAGCGUGGGGAGCAAACAGGAUUAGAUACCCGCGUAGUCCCUGUCUCUUAUAC
rnacentral:rRNA from 1 species